rnacentral:lncRNA from 1 species
ACUUGUGGGAAGAAAAUUCAAUUCGAUUUUGGUGCAAGAUAAAUUGAAACUUAUAGGCCCUUAUAUUUAUAUUUCAACAUUAAGAGUAGGUUUUUCUGUGACUUCAGGACUUCCUGCAACCAGUAGACAAGGUCAAUAAAGAAGAAAGAGACAUGUCAAGGUGAUAAUCAAGUCAUUUCAGUUACCAUGUGCUAUCAAACUACUGGACUAAAAAGAAGUUAAAAAAGGGG